CGGUCGCAAGAUUAAAACUCAAAUGAAUUGACGGGGGCCCGCACAAGCGGUGGAGCAUGUGGUUUAAUUCGAUGCAACGCGAAGAACCUUACCUACUCUUGACAUCCAGAGAAGCCAGCGGAGACGCAGGUGUGCCUUCGGGAGCUCUGAGACAGGUGCUGCAUGGCUGUCGUCAGCUCGUGUUGUGAAAUGUUGGGUUAAGUCCCGCAACGAGCGCAACCCUUAUCCUUGUUUGCCAGCGAGUAAUGUCGGGAACUCCAGGGAGACUGCCGGUGAUAAACCGGAGGAAGGUGGGGACGACGUCAAGUCAUCAUGGCCCUUACGAGUAGGGCUACACACGUGCUACAAUGGCGCAUACAGAGGGCGGCCAACUUGCAAAAGUGAGCGAAUCCCAAAAAGUGCGUCGUAGUCCGGAUUGGAGUCUGCAACUCGACUCCAUGAAGUCGGAAUCGCUAGUAAUCG
rnacentral:rRNA from 1 species